rnacentral:rRNA from 1 species
UACAGAGGGGGCAAGCGUUAUUCGGAAUUAUUGGGCGUAAAGGGCGCGUAGGCGGCAUGGCAAGUGGAAGGUGAAAUCCCUCGGCUUAACCGAGGAACUGCCCUCCAAACUGCUUUGCUUGGGGCCGGGAGAGGUGAGUGGAACUGCGAGUGUAGAGGUGAAAUUCGUAGAUAUUCGCAAGAACACCAGUGGCGAAGGCGGCUCACUGGCCCGAUACUGACGCUGAGGCACGAAAGCGUGGGGAGCAAACAGG